rnacentral:ncRNA from 1 species
GCUGUGGAGCGUUUAAUCUGGAGUAGCUGCGGCGAAACAGGACGCGAAGAAGCAGCGA